rnacentral:rRNA from 1 species
AUGGCGGCCGAGGAGAACCAUCCCGUUCCAUGGCGCGGUCCCCUGCCAUACCACGAGCCCUACGACGAGCUGAUCAUGGAGCCGGAGCUGUGGCGGCAGCCAGAAGAGCCAUUCCCCAGGCAGUUGGAAGACGGCGGCCAGCCUUCUGACAAGCCCAUAGAGUUGCUGGAGUUGUUCCCCGUCCGGCCGCUUCACGACGACGGCCAGCCGCGCGACAACCGCAAAGAGUUGUUGGACCUGUUCCCCGUCCGGCCGCUUCACGACGACGAUGCUGCUGCUGCUGCUGCGGGUCGUGCCGCUCCUCCACCGACGGCGUGGUGGGUUCCUCUGCCGCCGGCUGCGGCGGAUUCCCACCAACUCCAGCCGCUGCCGCUGGGGGAGGAGGGUUAUGAUCUCUUCGCUGCUCCUCCGCCACCGGCAUGGUGGGCUCCUCUGCCGCCGGAGGAGGGUCAUGAUGUCUUUGUCUUGGACCCGCUGGGAGCGUGGGUUCCUCUGCCGCCGGCUGCGGUGGAUGGCCACCAGCUCCCGCAGCCGCCGCUAGAGGAGGCAAGUUACGAUGUGCCACUGUGGAGGUGGGUUCCUCCCGAGACGGAGGAGGGGGGUGUUGUCAUGGAGGAGCAGUGGAUGCAGGAUGGCGACGACGGCGUGCCUUGGCCGCAGCUGUUCUUGUCCCCGCCGGACGACCAGUGGAUGCAGUUGGACGGCGGCCAGCCGUACGCGUGGUCGUGGUCUCAUGAAGAAGAGUUCUGA